UACGGAGGGGGCUAGCGUUGUUCGGAAUUACUGGGCGUAAAGCGCACGUAGGCGGAUCAGCAAGUUAGGGGUGAAAUCCCGGGGCUCAACCCCGGAACUGCCUUUAAAACUGUUGGUCCGGAGGUCGAGAGAGGUGAGUGGAAUUCCGAGUGUAGAGGUGAAAUUCGUAGAUAUUCGGAGGAACACCAGUGGCGAAGGCGGCUCACUGGCUCGAUACUGACGCUGAGGUGCGAAAGCGUGGGGAGCAAGCAGG
rnacentral:rRNA from 1 species